rnacentral:rRNA from 1 species
UCGCGUCUGAUUAGCUAGUUGGUGAGGUAACGGCCCACCAAGGCGACGAUCAGUAGCCGGACUGAGAGGUUGACCGGCCACAUUGGGACUGAGAUACGGCCCAGACUCCUACGGGAGGCAGCAGUGGGGAAUAUUGGGCAAUGGGCGCAAGCCUGACCCAGCAACGCCGCGUGAAGGAAGAAGGCUUUCGGGUUGUAAACUUCUUUUAAGAGGGAAGAGCAGAAGACUGUACCUCUAGAAUAAGCCACGGCUAACUACGUGCCAGCAGCCGCGGUAAUACGUAGGUGGCAAGCGUUGUCCGGAUUUACUGGGUGUAAAGGGCGUGCAGCCGGGAAUGCAAGUCAGAUGUGAAAUCCAUGGGCUUAACCCAUGAACUGCAUUUGAAACUGUAUUUCUUGAGUACUGGAGAGGCAAUCGGAAUUCCUAGUGUAGCGGUGAAAUGCGUAGAUAUUAGGAGGAACACCAGUGGCGAAGGCGGAUUGCUGGACAGCAACUGACGGUGAGGCGCGAAAGUGUGGGGAGCAAACAGGAUUAGAUACCCUGGUAGUCCACACUGUAAACGAUGAAUACUAGGUGUGCGGGGACUGACCCCCUGCGUGCCGCAGUUAACACAAUAAGUAUUCCACCUGGGGAGUACGAUCGCAAGGUUGCAACUCAAAUGAAUUGACGG